GAAAAAUAUAUCCACACACAGGCAGGGAUGGGUCAAAGAACAGCACAUCUUGAUGACAGCACAACACAUGAAGAGUUAAGGGAUGCCCUGAAUGAUUUGUUUCCCAAACUGAAGGAGGUAACAGGUGGCUGGCUGCUGUUCAAACCUGGGGGUGGUUGGGGAAGCCGAAAACUCUCUCUGGUUCCUCCAGCUGAUAUUGGCUAUACAGGGGCAAUCCUAAAGGCUGCCAGUCGUGGGGGUAAAAACAUAUAUAUUGCUCCUAUUCAAGAGGAACUUAGCAAUGACCCUGUACCACUAAGCGAUGAGUCCUUCAGAUGCAUGCCAAAAGCAAAAUGCCAGAAGUGUGGCAUAGGUGUUCCACUGCAACUUCUGUCAGAACACCUAAAAUCCUGCCCUCUUUUGGAAACUCCCAGUGAAAGUACUGUGGUGAAUUUAGAUGGUGAUGAACCUACGGAGAAGUAAUGUAGGUUUUUUUGACAAUUUCAUACUAACAUAUUACCCAAAAGCAUAAAGUGUUAAGAGCUAGCUAGAAGGAAAAAUGAAAUGUUAUUAAAAUAAACUUUGUCCUUUCAAAUUUAUUUCACAACAGCACCAUUGCAGCAGUGUCCUGUCU